GAUGAACGCUGGCGGCGUGCCUAAUACAUGCAAGUCGAGCGAACAGACGAGGAGCUUGCUCCUCUGACGUUAGCGGCGGACGGGUGAGUAACACGUGGAUAACCUACCUAUAAGACUGGGAUAACUUCGGGAAACCGGAGCUAAUACCGGAUAAUAUAUUGAACCGCAUGGUUCAAUAGUGAAAGACGGUUUUGCUGUCACUUAUAGAUGGAUCCGCGCCGCAUUAGCUAGUUGGUAAGGUAACGGCUUACCAAGGCGACGAUGCGUAGCCGACCUGAGAGGGUGAACGGCCACACUGGAACUGAGACACGGUCCAGACUCCUACGGGAGGCAGCAGUAGGAAAUCUUACGCGAUGGGCGAAAGCCUGACGGAGCAACGCCGCGUGAGUGAUGAAGGUCUUCGGAUCGUAAAACUCUGUUAUUAGGGAAGAACAAAUGUGUAAGUAACUAUGCACGUCUUGACGGUACCUAAUCAGAAAGCCACGGCUAACUACGUG
rnacentral:rRNA from 1 species